UACGUAGGGUGCAAGCGUUGUCCGGAAUUAUUGGGCAUAAAGAGCUCGUAGGCGGUCUGUCGCGUCUGCUGUGAAAACCUGGGGCUUAACCCCGGGCCUGCAGUGGGUACGGGCAGACUAGAGUGCGGUAGGGGAGACUGGAAUUCCUGGUGUAGCGGUGAAAUGCGCAGAUAUCAGGAGGAACACCGGUGGCGAAGGCGGGUCUCUGGGCCGAUAUUGACGCUGAGGCGCGAAAGCGUGGGGAGCAAACGGG
rnacentral:rRNA from 1 species